CCUUGAAAUACCACCCUUUAAUGGCUGGUGUUCUAACGUAGACCCGUGAUCCGGGUUGCGGACAGUGUCUGGUGGGUAGUUUGACUGGGGCGGUCUCCUCCCAAAGAGUAACGGAGGAGCACGAAGGUUGGCUAAUCCUGGUCGGACAUCAGGAGGUUAGUGCAAUGGCAUAAGCCAGCUUGACUGCGAGCGUGACGGCGCGAGCAGGUGCGAAAGCAGGUCAUAGUGAUCCGGUGGUUCUGAAUGGAAGGGCCAUCGCUCAACGGAUAAAAGGUACUCCGGGGAUAACAGGCUGAUACCGCCCAAGAGUUCAUAUCGACGGCGGUGUUUGGCACCUCGAUGUCGGCUCAUCACAUCCUGGGGCUGAAGUAGGUCCCAAGGGUAUGGCUGUUCGCCAUUUAAAGUGGUACGCGAGCUGGGUUUAGAACGUCGUGAGACAGUUCGGUCCCUAUCUGCCGUGGGCGCUGGAGAAUUGAGGGGGGCUGCUCCUAGUACGAGAGGACCGGAGUGGACGCAUCACUGGUGUUCGGGUUGUCAUGCCAAUGGCACUGCCCGGUAGCUAAAUGCGGAAGAGAUAAGUGCUGAAAGCAUCUAAGCACGAAACUUGCCCCGAGAUGAGUUCUCCCUGAGACUUUAAGUCUCCUGAAGGAACGUUGAAGACGACGACGUUGAUAGGUCGGGUGUGUAAGCGCAGCGAUGCGUUGAGCUAACCGAUACUAAUGAACCGUGAGGCUUAACCUUACAACGCCGAAGGUGUUU
rnacentral:rRNA from 2 species